rnacentral:rRNA from 1 species
UACGGGGGGGGCAAGCGUUGUUCGGAAUUACUGGGCGUAAAGGGCUCGUAGGCGGCCAACUAAGUCAGACGUGAAAUCCCUCGGCUUAACCGGGGAACUGCGUCUGAUACUGGAUGGCUUGAAUCCGGGAGAGGGAUGCGGAAUUCCAGGUGUAGCGGAUGAAAUGCGUAGAUAUCUGGAGGAACACCGGUGGCGAAGGCGGCAUCCUGGACCAAUAUUGACGUGAGGAGCGAA